GCCCACCUCUGGGGACCAGGCCAUAGGGGGAGGUCAGGAUGGCUGCAGGUUUGCAGAGGAACCUGGCAGCAGUGAGCACCAGAGACCAGGUGGCUUUGCUUUGGUUCCCUCACUUGGAUGAGGUGUCAGUGGGAAGGAAAACAUGAGACAAAUGGAAAAAACAAAAAAGAUUUUGCACAGAACCUCUGCCAGGAGUCCCGGGAGUCCAGCCUCCACUUGGGGGCCUGCGUGCCUGAGCACCUCAAUCCCUCAGUGACUCACUGCCUUCCUCUGGGGGAGAUGGGAAGAGGAAGAGAGGUGGUUUCCCUGGCUCCUCUAUUCAUUUUUUGGCAAUCACAGAAUCACGGAUUUUAAACUGGAAGGAAUUUUAAGAGGUCAUCGGGUCCAGUCCCCUGACAUAAUUAUCUUUAUUUUGCAGAUAAAACUAAGUUGUCAUUACUGUGACAUAUGUGUAAAUAAGCCCUUUUCCUCCUGGGUAAGGUGUGAGCUCCAGCUGCACACAGGGGCUCCCACCAGCGAAGGGGUGGAAGAGGACAGGAAGGUCAUGCCUCUUAGAAGCAAGCGUGGGGUUUUGAAGGUUUCUAGGCAGAAGGUACCAGUAUUGUCUCUGUCAUCCACUGGGGGCAGGGUGAGGGCCGAGGUGGGGAAGGGCCUUGCCCUGCAGGCUCAGAAGGGCGGUGAGAAUCACAUUCUGCUGCCCCUCCCCUUCCCCCUGAGAAAGCAAAGGAUGCACCUGCCUCUCAGGACUGACCACAGGGGAAAAGUGGCUGCUGCCAGGACACGGUAUAUUCUUCAGUGGCUUUUCCUUCAAAGAAAAAUCUCCUUCUGACCCAUCUCCUUGGGAAAAACAAAAACAAAUGAAAAGAGCCAGGGAAAACAGGCUCCCUCCCCAGGACUUAACUCCUGGCCCUGGAGCCUCACAGUAAGGAUACUUGGGGGCCAGCAAGAACCACCUGAGUAGCAGAAAUGUUUCCCAUCUUCCCCGCCAGUUGAGGAGGCAUCACAGGAUGGCAUCAGGUGAUGGUAGGAAAGGUAGGGGAACUACAGGCAGGCUGCCUAAAGCUGCCCAACUCUGGCCUCAGUUGCUAGAAUUAAACGGAGGCGCUUUUUACAUCUAGGUAAU
ensembl:lncRNA